GCAGACGCACAGGACUUAAAAUCCUGCGGUAGGUGACUACCGUACCGGUUCGAUUCCGGUCCUCGGCA
rfam:Bacillus sporothermodurans strain B4102 NODE_308, whole genome shotgun sequence.